rnacentral:rRNA from 1 species
CAGUAGGGAAUCUUCCACAAUGGACGAAAGUCUGAUGGAGCAACGCCGCGUGAGUGAAGAAGGUUUUCGGAUCGUAAAGCCCUGUUGUUGGUGAAGAAGGAUAGAGGCAGUAACUGGUCUUUAUUUGACGGUAAUCAACCAGAAAGUCACGGCUAACUACGUGCCAG